rnacentral:misc_RNA from 1 species
GAUGAAGAACGCAGCGAAAUGCGAUAAGUAAUAUGAAUUGCAGAAUUCAGUGAAUCAUCGAAUCUUUGAACGCACAUUGCGCCCGCCAGUAUUCUGGCGGGCAUGCCUGUUCGAGCGUCAUUACAACCCUCAGGCCCCCGGGCCUGGCGUUGGGGAUCGGCGGAGCCCCCCGUGGGCACACGCCGUCCCCCAAAUGCAGUGGCGGUCCCGCCGCAGCUUCCAUCGCGUAGUAGCUAACACCUCGCGACUGGAGAGCGGCGCGGCCACGCCGUAAAACACCCAACUCUUCUGAAGUUGACCUCGAAUCAGGUAGGAAUACCCGCUGAACUUAAGCAUAUCAAUAAGCGGAGGA